UACCAUUCUGAAGGAUUAAUUCUGUCACCCAACUGUUCCUAACUGUUCCUGGUGCUCUGCUUAGAUUGUAUGAUUAUUUCCUCUGGCCACCAUAAACAAUCAAAGACUAUCUUCAGUUUGAGAUAGGAGACCCUCUAGAUCUGAUUCUGCACUUGGCCAAAAUUUUCAAUCCAGUUCAAGACCAAGUCUUUGGACAGUCUACGAAAUCAUUAUCAGUACUCCUCAGAAACAUCAGAGUCAUGGAAAACAAAGAAAGACUGAGCAAGCAUCAAAGGAAACUAGGGAGAGGGAGCAACCUAAAUACAUGUGAUACCGUGAAUUGGAUCCUGGAACAGAAAAAAAAAGUUUCUAGGUGCCAGGGUCUGAAAGUCCUCCAAGAAUGCAUCUACUACUGACUGUACCAACUCAUCAGGGGUAGUGACAAAGAAAUGAAGAGCCAAGGUCCUAUGACGAUAUGUUGUGUGUCCUACAGUGCCCAGCAAUGGGAGAAGGAUGUUCACAGAAGAGAAAUUUCUUAUUUCCACGGAAGCUAAUAUGUGGAAAAUUCUUCCACACCUCAUGGCCCUCACGUGAAAGAAAGCUGACUUCCCUAAUCUGACAAAAUUCCUAAAAAUUACAGGAUGUCACCAAAAAGUUGUAACACUUAAAGAAACAUUUGUAACUUAUCAGAAAAACCAACCAACCACACUAGAGGGAUGACUGAAAUACCUUUUUCUUCUCGGUGCAGAAAAUACUCAAAGAAAAGCUUGAUGUGUUAUGAACAGGCUAUCAAAGAGUGGGUAGCCAAAAAUGUAUGUGAAAGUGUUAUAGAAGUAUAUUUAUGUUACUCUCUGUAUGUCUUUGUAUUAUUCAUGAACCUUAAAAAAUUUGUAAUUGUAGUUUCCCUCAUUCUAAGUACAC